GCACUAUAUAGGAGCGGCCCCCGUCAAGUUAUUGAAAGUAACUAAGUAACUUUUACUUAAAGUACAUUUUAAAUGAACUACUUUUUACUUUUACUUGAGUAGAUUUUUAGAUGAGUAAUUUUACUUGUACUUAAGUACAAUUUCAUCAAAGUAAUUGUACUUUUACUUGAGUACAACAUUUCAGUACUUUUUACACCUCUGCUUGGUAGUAGGGUUCAGUUCAGUUCAUACUGUGGAACUAGCCCCAGCACAUAAACCAGGAGCCUGAGAGAAGGCAGGUGUCAUUAAAGGUAUAUAUUCCCCGAUUCUAAUCCAAUACAUUUUCUUUGCUAAAUUCAGCAAAAUUGCUCCUCACGGUCCUCUAGCUGUUCGUUCAGUGUGUGCCCUCAAAACAGCUCUGGUGCUCGUAUACAUUCUUGGCUCUGUGCCAUACACAAUUCUAGCCAAUCAACAUGUUGCUUCAGGAGCACAGGAGAGAGGGAUGACAUUUGAUUGGCUGUUGAGCACAAAUAUCAACUACCUUUCAUCACAAUUGCAAACUGUGCCUUUAACAUAGGUGCCUCAAUUUGUGAAAACCCCAGUUGUAUACAUUAAGAUGCCCAGAGGUAUACAUUAUAAUAUCAUUACAACUAUAAAUAUAAUUAUUAUACCAUAUAUAUGGUUAUGAUAAAAGUAUCAUCACAGCUUUAAGUGUCAAUGAUGCACCACCCCACGUCACCCGCCUUCACAACCUGAGUGAUGUGAGAAACUGCAUGAGACGUGGGGACACCGAGCUGAGCUUCACUCUUAUCCAGCUGAAGGACUGAUGAUGUGAUGGUGAACUCUCAUGUGCUAAAGGUGGAGCUCAGAGGAACAGAUGAUGGUGAACUCUCAUGUGCUAAAGGUGGAGCUCAGAGGGAUGGAUGAUGGGAUGGUGAACUCUCAUGUGCUAAAGGUGGAGCUCAGAGGGAUGGAUGAUGUUAAGGUGAACUCUCAACAAGAUUGACUUUACAAUUCUCUCAUACGGUCUGAGCGAAAUUAUCUCACAAGUCUUGUGUACACAUAUUAAAUCAGAAGAUUGCAUUGCAUUCCAUUGUAUUGUUUCAUAUUGUAAUGCAGCGUAAUGUUUUUGUUGUUUAAGUUGUGGUAAGUUAAGGAUGAGCACACAAGAUAUAUAAAAAAGCGGUAUUAAGUAUACAAAGAAGAUGGAACAAGUGAUAGCCCAACUACGGAUCUCAGAUGAAACAUAAAGGACAGCCCAUCUCAUUUCACUUAGUAGGUAAGCAAUGUUGGACAUAUUUAUUUAUUCACGUUUCACCCAAAACAAUCUGAACGUGCACAUAACACCAUCACAGUCCCCGUUUUAUUCUCUCAGGGCUCUGUCGUGCUUUGCGCUUGUGCCCAGAGUCCCUAGACACUACUGUUACUGUUGGAACGGGAGCAAGAGCAGCUCCUAAAGAGGUCGGUCAGCUUCUCACGGACAUGGUGGCCUGUGGCAGACCUUUCAGUUGGGAUUAAUUUAGGGCAUCCAUGGGGUGGUGCUGGUGCUGUUCUGGUGAAUCGUUCCAGAAACUUAAACCUUUUCUGGGUGGAGGCAGCAGAUUGACCUUUCUCCAUCCUGCGAAAGAAAAUCAGCUCAUUGUCGUCAUUAACCCUCUGGUGGAGGCCUGGGCCCCGUGGCUCUUGUCCUUUGGUGUUGGCCCUUUCUGUGGUUUGCGCUCCAUCAAUCAGAGAUUCAUCUGCAGCCUCAGCCUCUCUGAAAGACGUGACUGAGCUAAAAAAAAAGUGCAGAAGAGCAACAAGUGUCAGAAAAUGGUGCACAUCCUGCUGUAGUGAUAGGAGUCAGGUUUCAAACAGGCAGACAGGUUAGGCUUGGGCUGACCAGUGGUUAAAGGUAAGGAAGGAAGACAUUUUGAAUAUUACAUUUGAGAAGAAUGACGUUAAUUAAAAAUAUGAAAUAAACUUAGGAAAUGGAAUCAACUUAAUAUAUCAAUAGACAUAAGUAAGAGACUCCCCUUGCUAUGGCCGCAUACUUAUUUCUAAACAUAAUGAUGAUAAAUAUACAUUCACACUUGCUGCAGCUGUCUUGUAAAAGUAAGUAAGUCCUGAUACCUUCUGGGCGACGGGUAGGGAGUGGGUGUCCGUGUGCUGGCCGCCGUCUUUAUACUGUCACGCCUUGAGUCAUGAUCAAAGAAGAACUGCACGCUUCUGGACAUGCGCCUUUCAGUGGAGUCAAAGGAGGAGGUGGAGAUGGCUGAGGGGCCAGUGAAAGGGAAGUUGAUCUCUUGGCUGCUUUCCCUCACAUCCAGGUCCUCAAUUACAGAGUCUUCAAGUUUGUCAUUUGAGUGAUCCUGUGGAAUAUUAAUGUAUCUGUUUGUGUAUAACAAUCACACAACGUUUGUUUUCUGCAAAUAAGACCACUUAACAGCAAGGUUAGUAGAGCCAGCCUGUCUCAUUAUUUUCACCUUUCAGACGUUUUACUCAUGUUCGGCCCAAAGAUAUUCAACAAAGGCAUGUAAUUUUCCCCCUAAUAUCAGUAAUAGCUCACAAAAACUUCUAUAUCACUAUAGAAUGUGUGAAAGUUGGAGACUAUUCAACUGUUUCUGUUUACCUCAAACUCCCCUUGACUGAUCUCGGUAGAACCAGGAUGAGAAGGUACUGGCACCUGAUCUGGUCCUUCAUGUAUCUCUAAAUCACAGUAACGGGAGUGUUAUAAGAUACUUUUCAUCCACAGGUAUCUCUAAAUCACAGUAACAGGAGUGUUAUAAGAUACUUUUCAUCCACAGGUAUCUCUAAAUCACAGUAACGGGAGUGUUAUAAGAUACUUUUCAUCCACAGGUAUCUCUAAAUCACAGUAACGGGAGUGUUAUAAGAUACUUUUCAUCCACAGGUAUCUCUAAAUCACAGUAACGGGAGUGUUAUAAGAUACUUUUCAUCCACAGGUAUCUCUAAAUCACAGUAACGGGA
ensembl:lncRNA